rnacentral:rRNA from 1 species
AAACCUAAAAUGCAAGUCGAACGAGAAGACCUUCGGGUCUCUAGUGGCGAACGGGUGAGUAACACGUAGGGAACCUGCCCGCGCACCGGGAAUACGCUCUGGAAACGGAGAACAAAUCCCGAUGUACAGGAAGGAGGCAUCUUCUUUCUGUGAAACAUCCUCUAGGGGAUGGGGCGCGGAUGGACCUGCGGUGCAUUAGUUGGUUGGCGGGGUAAAGGCCCACCAAGACGAUGAUGCAUAGCCGGCCUGAGAGGGCGGACGGCCACAUUGGGACUGAGACACGGCCCAGACUCCUGCGGGAGGCAGCAGUAGGGAAUUUUCGUCAAUGGGCGCAAGCCUGAACGAGCGAUGCCGCGUGAGUGAAGAAGGCCUUCGGGUCGUAAAGCUCUGUUGCGGGGGAAAAAAGGCAGCAUCAGGAAAUGGGUACUGACUGAUGGUGCCCCGCCAGAAAGUCACGGCUAACUACGUGCCAGCAGCCGCGGUAAUACGUAGGUGGCGAGCGUUAUCCGGAAUGAUUGGGCGUAAAGGGUGCGCAGGCGGUCCUGCAAGUCUGGAGUGAAACGCAUGAGCUCAACUCAUGCAUGGCUUUGGAAACUGGAGGACUGGAGAGCAGGAGAGGGCGGUGGAACUCCAUGUGUAGCGGUAAAAUGCGUAGAUGUAUGGAAGAACACCAGUGGCGAAGGCGGCCGCCUGGCCUGUUGCUGACGCUGAGGCACGAAAGCGUGGGGAGCAAAUAGGAUUAGAUACCCU